ensembl:lncRNA
AGGGGCAACCCAGAGCCCUCCCUCACAUGGUACAAGGACUCGCGCACUGUGACUGAGUCGCGGCUGCCGCAGGAGCCGCGGUGCAUGCAGCUCGGCAACGUGGAGAAAUCUGGGAGCACCUUCUCCCGAGAGCUGGUGCUGGUCACAGGGCCGUGGGACAACCAGGCCAAGUUCAUGUGCAAGGCUGGCCAGCUCAGCGCGUCCACGUAGCUGGCGGUGCAGUGUGAGGGCGCGCACGGCUGAGGCCCGGGGACGGACUCCGCCCGGGCAGGACAGGGUGGAGGACAGAGCCAGCCCUGGCCUCACCCCGGGUCCACAGGCUGGAGGGCUUGGCCAUCCCGCCCCGGAGAGCCCCGCUCAAAGGCUCCGCCACGGCCAGAAGCGUCCUUCUGCAAGUGUCAUCCCUCCAUCAUGGCCAACGCGUGACCUGCCUGCUGCGCCCACAGCGCCGAGCUCCGCGAAACCGUGAGCUCCUUCUAUCGCCUCAACGUCCUGUGUAUGUGCCCCGGCCGGAAAGGUCCUCUUGAUGCCUUCCUGACCCUAACCUACUCCUUGCGUCUCCGCCGCGCCCCCUGCCCCCCGCCCCGCCUUUUUUUUUUUUUUUUUUUUUUUUGAUGGAGUCUGGCUCUGUCACCCAGGCUGGAGUGUAGUGGUGCGAUCUGGGCUCACUGCAAGCUCCGCCUCCCAUGGUUCACGCCAUUCUCCUGCCUCAGCCUCCGGAGUAGCUGGGACUACAGUCGCUUGCCACCAUGCCCGGCUAAUUUUAUUUUUGUAGUUUUGGUAGAGACGGGGUUUCACCGUGUUAGCCAAGAUGGUCUUGAUCUCCUGACUUGGUGAUCCGCCCACCUUGGCCUUCCAAAGUGCUGGGAUUACAGGCGUGAGCCACCACGCCCGGCUGGCUGGCUGGCUUCCUUCCUUCCUUCCCUCCCUCCCUCCCUCCUUCCCUCUCUCCUUCCCUCCUUCCCUCUCUCCCUCCCUCCUUCCUUCCUUCCUUCCUUCCUCUUUCUCUCUCUCUCUCUCUUUUUUGAUGGAGUUUCCCUCUGUGGCUGGGGCUGCAAUGCAGUGACGCAAUCAUAGCUCACUGCAGCCUCCAGCUUCUGAGCUCAAGUGAUCCUACCUCAGCCUCCUGAGUAGCUGAAACUACAGGUGUGCACUACCACUUUUGGCUAGUUUUUUUUUUUUUUUUUUUUUUUUUGUAGCAACAGGGCCUCACUAUGUUGCCCAGGCUGGUCUUCAACCCCUGGGCUGAAGCAAUACUCCUGCCUUGGCCUCCAAAAGUGCUGACAUUACAGGCGCAUCCCACUACACUAGGCUGAUUUUUUGUACUUUUAAUUUUAAAUAGAGAUGGUAUCUCUCUAAGUUGCCCAGGCUGAUCUUCAACACCUUGACUCAAGUGAUCCUCCUGCCUUGGCCUCCCAAAGUUCUGGGAGCAGAGGCGUGAGCCACUGAGCCUGGCCUGGGUCUUUGCUUUGACACUAUCACUCUAUCAUUAACCCCAUCCUGAAACUUGAAACUCCCUACCUUCAUCCUGACCAGUAGUCCUGGGCCAAAUCCUAUCCUGUCCACUCCCAUAUUGCCUUUGUCCUCUCUCCUAACCCCGAUCCCUAUCAUGACCCCUCUUUCCAUCCUUCAACCUGAUGCUGGCUUCUACUCUUUUCCUAAACUGUAUUCUAAUUUCUAUCCCGAACUUUACCCUUGAAUUCAGUUCUGAACUUAUUGCCUUGUCCACAACCUUAAACCCGUAGUGAUCUCCCCACUUUAACCCUUGAACCUGUGCCUGAUCUCCAAUCUGUCCUUGAUCCUGACCUUGACAACAAUCUUGACUCCCUGUGGCGCCCCCUCUGAAGACCGUCCAGAGUUUCUGGGGGAGC